rnacentral:rRNA from 1 species
GACGAACGCNGGCGGCGUGCUUAACACAUGCAAGUCGAACGAAGAGCGAUGGAAGCUUGCUUCUAUCAAUCUUAGUGGCGAACGGGUGAGUAACGCGUAAUCAACCUGCCCUUCAGAGGGGGACAACAGUUGGAAACGACUGCUAAUACCGCAUACGAUCUAAUCUCGGCAUCGAGGAAAGAUGAAAGGUGGCCUCUAUGUAUAAGCUAUCACUGAAGGAGGGGAUUGCGUCUGAUUAGCUAGUUGGAGGGGUAACGGCCCACCAAGGCGAUGAUCAGUAGCCGGUCUGAGAGGAUGAACGGCCACAUUGGGACUGAGACACGGCCCAGACUCCUACGGGAGGCAGCAGUGGGGAAUCUUCCGCAAUGGACGAAAGUCUGACGGAGCAACGCCGCGUGAGUGAUGACGGCCUUCGGGUUGUAAAGCUCUGUUAAUCGGGACGAAAGGCCUUCUUGCGAACAGUUAGAAGGAUGAC